AAAAAAAUAUGGGAAAAAUUGUGAAAAUUAAUGAAAUUGAGACAAACAGUUGUAUAUCUAUUGAUUUUUUUAUACUUUUCAUUAUGCAACAUCUUAAAUUUGAGAAAAUUUCACAUUUCACCAAAUUUCAAACCCCCUUUUUUCCCUAUUGGUUACCAUGGGAAUGGAGCGCAAUAUUGUAAAAAAAUGGUCUGAUAUAUUAGAAUUGUUUUACUUGACC
rnacentral:lncRNA from 1 species